GCCGGGGUAGCUCAGUCGGUAGAGCGACGCACUCGUAAUGCGUAGGUCACGGGUUCGAUUCCCGUCCCUGGCUCGA
rnacentral:tRNA from 1 species